AGGAGUAUCAUAUAAAACCCUGUGAGGUUGGGCAUUCCUGCUUAAGCAGGUCAGAGUUUUCAGGGAGCAAAACUUAACGGAACCUAUUUUGAACCUAGGAGCUCUGACAUCCUAGGGACACUUGAGUUACAUGUGUUUCUGGUGACACCAUCUUUUUCCUCCAACCCCCACAUCAGAGACAUGUCCAGGAGGGAGGGCCUGUUAUGACUGAGAGUCUAGAAUAAGAAGAAAGGAGGAAGGGUGUGCUGGCUGCUUACUUCAUUACCCCAAGAAUGCCAUUCACAAGUGCUUCUUUGUGUGUGUAUCUGUGAGCCUGACCUUCAGUGUCCAUCGCUCUGCUCUUUGCUGAUCUUCCCUCCUCCCCUCUGGAUAAUUAGAACAAAGGAUGCAGCAAAGGAAGGAGCAGGAUCCUGAUAUGAUGGAGUCUGGGCUGCCUGGUGCUUAGGAACUUUGAGGAAAUGGAGAUGACCCUCUUGGUGCUUGAAACCAUGAACCUCAGCGGAGUUGCUUCACCUGGAUGCACCUGACACUCUUCACCUCCAACCAUGAGCCCUGAGGGAUGGGAACUGACUGGUGGACACUCGUAGUCUCAAGACUCAAGAUCAGAAAGACACAAAGUGUUUGGAAAGAUACAGAACAUGCAAACCUCUUCAUGAUGACAGUAUCACUAACACCAUGGGAUGUGAAAAUUCUACAGGAUUUGGAGUAAGCGAGAAACAGCAGAUGGAAAUUGUGACUGGACCAUAUUCUCAUUGAAGGACUGAUAAAUGUGAGCCACAACCUAUUGAUGUAUCGUUCCAUCUGUAUUGUUUUAUGUUACUAAAAGAACUGUACAAAAUUUAAUAGGUUCCCUUGAGACCUUUGUGCCCAAACUCUAAACUCUCUUUUCUCUAAGACGACUUCAAAAUGGCACAUGCAUGUGUGUGGCUGUGGCUGAUGGAGGCCUGUAUGGUAGAGUUUGAUACCCAAGCCCAAGAUACUGUUUUGGAA